UGGUUAGGUUCUGUGAUGAUGUCACUUGUACAGAUGGGUGGACAGAGUUGGCAAUGGGAUUUAUUGCAGGUAUAGGUUCUUGGGUGAGUAUGUUUGAGGUGUGAUGUGUGGCUGCUGGAAAGAAUUUGCUUCAGGUUAGGGGGCUGUCUGUAAGUGAGGAUUGGCCUGUCCCUCAAGGCCUGUGAGAGUGACGGGUCAUUUUCCAGAUUAGGCUGUAGAUGUAGAUUGGCAAUCGUGCGCUGGAGGGGUCUGAGCUGGGGACUGUAAGUGAUGACUCAUGGUAUUCUGUUAUUUUCCUUGUUAGGCCUAUCUUGAAGAAGCAGAUUCCUGAGUACUAGUCUGGCUCAGUCUAGUCUUCACUUCUCCAGUAAUGUCUCAAGGCCCCAGCGAAGAUAGGCACUCAUGUACUAGGCAAAGUACAUACUGAGAAACAGACCCUGCCCCAGAGAACUUGUUCACAGAUUCUAAGGCCAGGUGGAAUCCAUUUAUGGAUUCUAAAUACCUUCCCCAAGAUUCUCACCUUCAGAGAAAAUUGAAGUUGAACUGUCAGACACUCCAAAAUCAGAAAAUUCCAAAAUGAUGGUUGUUUAUAAAACCAAUUUUUACUCCUCUCCCAAAUCCUUCUGUAUUAUAUUACUCUUUAAUUGCAUGAUCAUGUUUUAUUUUUCAAAUACCAUAUAAAAUCAUUCUUUUAAUUUAAAAUCCUGAUGGCAUCCUGUAAUUUGUUUUCAUUCAUGUACACCUUCGCAAAGGCUAAUUUCAAGAACCUACACUACCUCCCUACCCUCCUUCGCCCACCUUGGGAGUGAGCAGACAGACAACACAGGAUAAGGGACCCUCUGAGGGUAGGCAGGUGGUGUGGGUUCUGGAGUAGCCUGGGGAAUGCAGGGUUGGGGGCUGGAGUCCCACCCACUCUGGGAACAGCCAGACAGGCUACCUGAGCGAUGGAGCUGUCUCCUGUAAUAGGAUGACAGCAUGGUGGGGCGGGUUGUGGAGUGGCCUUGGGGAUAUAGCAUCUUCCUGGGAAGCGCAGGGUGAGGGACUCAGCCCCCUCCCCAGUCUCCCCUCCAGCCACCCUGGGAACCAACACUUGAGAGACUGUGUAUAUAGUAGGACCUCUUCUCUCUGAGGUAUUUAUUUUAAAAUUUUUCCUCCAAUACUUUAUACUAUGCAUUUGCUUUUCGAUCAGUAGCACAGCCAACCUUUGGUUCAUUUCCUAGGAUGAAGUAGCUAGCUAUGGACACCAUUUUGGGACACGAGAUAUAUUGUUGAGUGCACUUUAUGGAUUAAGUACACAGAACUACAAGAUGUGCUGCAAAGGACAUACAUAAAAAGUGUAUGGGCUUACAACGAAUUAUUUAAGAAAUAAUUUGUGAUAAUAUAAUUAAGUGAAAUUUGUGUCAUUCUUAUCCCUUUCAUAGCACUGUGUGAAAAUUACCUUCACUGGGGGGAUAAAAAACAUGGGCAGAUGUGAAAGAUGAGGGUGACAUUUUUUAUCUGUAAAGUCCAGGGGCAAAGCCCUUGCAAGAGAACCAGACACCCUGUCUGAACAAGCUAUUGGGAAGAUGAGGAUGCUAAGGCUUGUACCACAAUGGGUGCUGUUUAGAGCGUCAUCACUUGCAUCAGAAUCUAUUUAAUAUGUCUGAUCUGUAUAUAUCCAUUUUACGCAAAGGAAGCAUUAAUUGAAAGAGAAUGAUUAUAUUGCUACUAGUACAAUUUAGAAAUAUACAUUAAAUUUUCAAAGAAAUGCCAGCUUAUUCGGGCUUUAAAUAUUGAAGUAUGAUCUCUUAGGAGAUCAAAUGUAAAGAAAGUUACCACUUCCUACUUAAUUACUGACAGAUUAUUUUUCUUCUGAUGCCCUCUUUUAGAAAAACAGCAGUUCAAAUUCCAAGAAGCUUGUUUAUAUUUUCUUAUGGUGGGAUCUAGCAGGUCUUUUUUAAUGUUAAAAUAUGUUCUAUUUUAAAAUAAUAUUUUCUUCUAAAAAUCCAUAACCUUGCAAGGUAUUCUCAAACUUUAGACCAGAAGAAGCCUAAAUGUUUGCAGUCAUAAGCCUUUCCUGAACUACAGUACCUGCACAAGAGUAUGUCAUGAUAUUUGACUGAAGUGUCCCCACCCACACAGUGCUAUCAUCUAACCCGCUAGCCUAGCAGCUUAAUUAAAAAAAAAAGUCAGAGCUCUGACUUGGAAAUUCCCCAUGGACACAACAAAGCAGCUCACCUCUGCUCUCCACACCAACAUGCAAGUUUCUUCCUCUAAAGUGGGCUGAUGGGAAAUCUGCUUCAACCAGUAUGUCUCUGCCUGUGGCCCACUUUCUUACGCCAGGUGGAAAGGUCUGCUUCACUCUAAUUCCUUACAAUAAGCCUGCUUUUUGAUUUCCUCUCUGAUUAAUUUCUUGGGAUAAACUCUUUUACAACUGUGCAUCUGAAGCAAGUGAGAUGUGAGGAGCCUAAAAUGGUGUAAUUACAUUCGGUAGUGAUUCUAAAAGUAAUACAGGAUUCUCAAUCAAGGCAGCUACUUUAUUGCAACUAAAACUGCUCAAGCUAUUUGUUAGAUUUUUUUUUGGUUUCUUUUUGAUUCAUUAAUUAUUUACAAAGUGACCCUGAUUUUUUUAAAAUAUGCUAAUUUUACAAGCACUCACCAAAACUUUAGAUGAAUAAUUUCCACUUAACUACUUGCUAUGAAUAUUUGCUAUGUUGCAUUGCAGGAAUGGUUACCUGAGUCAAAUAUUACUGUUUUCUGUUCCUUUACUCAGAGAUUGACAUUUUUUAAACAGGACAACUUAGUCUGGUUAAUGGUGGACAAACAGUUCUAUUACAAUUUAUUAGACAAAAAGCAUUUUCUUUAUUCAA